rfam:Tribolium castaneum strain Georgia GA2 linkage group LG5, whole genome shotgun sequence.
UGCACGCUCCAUAGAUCCAUCUCUGGUUUUCUAAAGAGAUGCUUGAGUCAUUGGUGUGCUAAAGUACUGUACCUCCAAAAUUUCAAUAAAAAUGGUGCUGAUCAAAUGAUUGCAUUGGACUGGAUUUUGGGGAACAG